CCUGUGGAUGAAUCAGGUGAUGAAGUUCAGUAUGGAGAUGUGCCUGUGGAAAAUGGAAUGGCACCAUUCUUUGAGAUGAAGCUGAAACAUUACAAGAUCUUUGAGGGAAUGCCAGUAACUUUCACAUGUAGAGUGGCUGGAAAUCCAAAGCCAAAGAUCUAUUGGUUUAAAGAUGGGAAGCAGAUCUCUUCAAAGAGUGAUCACUACACCAUUCAAAGAGAUCUCGAUGGGACCUGCUCCCUCCAUACCACAGCCUCCACCCUAGAUGAUGAUGGGAAUUACACAAUUAUGGCUGCAAACCCUCAGGUAAAGAAGGGUAUAGGUCUGGGCUCAGUUCUGUGUCUAGUGCUUACAGGCAUUUGAUUGGACAAAGGAACUAUUUAAAAGGUGAAGUUAAGACGUUUCUUUGAUUUAUGAAACUAUUUUUCCAAAUUCUACAUCCAUCUUGGUUUCAGAGGAUAGAAAAAUUCUUUGUUUCAUGAAUAUUUAUUCCAUCAGGUGUUAUUCUACUCCUUCCACAAAUAUUAUUAAGGGUCUAAUAUGUACACACUUUCUAUGUGGGUGAUGGGGUUGCAGUAGUAGACUGGACAAAGUCCUAUGGUAAAAAAUAAGCAAUUAACAAAUAAUAUAACUUCAGGUAGGAUUACAUGAAGAAAA
rnacentral:sRNA from 1 species